GUCUACAGCCAUGCCACCCUGAACGUACUCAACCUCGUCUGAUCUCGGAAACUAAGCAGGGUCGGGCCUGGUUAGUACUUGGAUGGGAGACCACCUGGGAAUACUGGGUGCUGUAGGCU